UGGUAAUCUGCAAUCAGCGGGAGCAGUGCAGGAGCAGGUGGGAGCAGCCCAAUCAGCCACUCCAGCUCCUCUACAUAACCUGACGCCACUCGUCUCUGGACCGUGAACGUUCUCCAACCAGCUCCUACCUCCCCGGAAUCCUGGUUUCCGCCAUCUAGAAUUCUUCUAGACAAUCCAGACUGGGCCAUUCUGGAUCAGCUUGGUCUCCCUCUGUUCUCACUCCUGUCCAAACUGGUUCACUUCCUCCUGCCUCUCCAUUGCCAGAACCCAGCUUCCGCCACACCGUCUCCGACGCCAGCUGCCGGCUACGCCCACGCCAGCCACAAACAGCGGCAGCCGCCAUUCCACCGUGGAACGCCAGCCACUCCAUCAAUCUGCUGGUUCAACCAAACAUCUCCGUGUCUCCGUCCCAUGAUGAAGUCCAGCAGCAGAAGGUUAAGGUCCUCAUGGGCUCCAACUUCAGCAUCAUCUGCUCCACCAGGCCUCAGUAUCCAGGAGGUUCCUUCCAGCUCGUCUUCACCUCCUCCAGCACAACGUUCAACUACGUCCUUCCAACUGUCACACAUUGGGCCGUUUUCCUGUUUCCUGCUGCAGAAGACCUCCACAGAGGGACGUACACCUGUAUUUACCACCUCAACGUUUUCUCCUAUAACUUCUCCUCCACCAGCCAGUCCAUCUAUCUCAUCCCCUCAGCUCCUCUAAUGGAUUUGAUCAUCAGACUUGUCGUCCACCUGCUGGUGAUGGUUCUUCUC
ensembl:lncRNA